rnacentral:misc_RNA from 1 species
GAUAUGGAGGCCCUGCUUGAUACGUAUGCUCCUUUCUUCUUUUACCGUGAGGCUUUCUUUUUAGUAAUGCAAUAUUCUAGUGAGACAGUGAGAGCGGAUUUUAAAUAAUGGAGGAGGUCAAAACUGAACAGCUUAGACUCUUGCUGUUGAACAUUUUCACUGGUGCUAACCGGACCAGUCCAAAUUAAAACUAGUCAAACUUGGAAUGACCGAAACCGGCUAGAUCUGGCCAUUCUGGUUCGGGCAAAAACCAAAUUUUCCCUUCAAAAAAAGAGAAAUUUUAAAAAGCUUAACCAUUGAAUUUAAUCAAAACCAGAUUGAGCCGGAACCAAAACUGGGACCGGGGGAUUCCUUAGGAUUGGUUCCGAUUCCCUUGGCCCUGGAACCGGACCAUGGCCAGCCCUACUUACAUCUCAUUUAUUUGAAUUUUUCCUUUUCAAAACUCUGUUUAGGUUUUAUAAAACUACUCUAAAGUGCAAUAAUUGGUCUACUGGUGUGUUCAAGACCAAAUUUGUCUUAUGUGACUCUUUUCGUGUUGAUCUCGAGCAGUGUGUUUAUUUUUUCACAACUAUCCUUUUAGAUUCUGGCACUCAUCAAACGUAGCAUUUUUAUUUAAAACUAUGAUGUGUAUUGGUUGUAUGAUGGUCUGUUUGAGUCAAUGGCUGCAUUAGGGGUGAGCAUUCGGUCAGUUCGGUUCAAAAAUUAAACCGAACUGAAAAAAAAAAAAACUGAAAACCAAAUUUCUUUUAAAAUUAAAAACCGAACCGAACUACAUAUAUCACUGAACCAAACCGAACUGAAAUAAAUCGGUUCAGUUCACAUAAUUGGUGUUUCAAUGCUCCAUUUUCUUCUAUGUUCAAACCACAAAUCUUGAGAUCCAUAAUAAAAAAUUCAAAUAAAUAUCCAAAACAAAAUGAUUAAAAGCAAAAUUUCUAUUAACUCACUCAAAAUCACAGUCAUCCAAAUCAAAUAAUAAGAUAAAUAUUACAUAUUAAUAUUACAUAAAAUAAAUUAAAAAAAUGAAGGAAAAAGAAAUGGAGGAGCUGUGGGAGGUGCUAUGAGGUCGCGUGCAUCUUCUUUGUACAAGGAGUACAAACUUAAAAAUAACAUUUUUCUUAGGGUGUUGAUCAGAAAAAAUCAUGGAGAUGAAACUCUUGUGGAUUAAAAAGAAGCAUAAAUGGAAAGUUAAAAAUGGAGACGGAGGAAGCUCUAUUGAAACAUGAAAAAGAA